GAUGAACGCUAGCGGCAGGCUUAACACAUGCAAGUCGAGGGGUAGAAGUUGCUUGCAACUUUGAGACCGGCGCACGGGUGCGUAACGCGUAUGCAAUCUACCUUAUACAGAGGGAUAGCCCAGAGAAAUUUGGAUUAAUACCUCAUAGUAUAAUUGAAUGGCAUCAUUUAAUUAUUAAAGUUCCAACGGUAUAAGAUGAGCAUGAGUCCUAUUAGUUAGAUGGUAAGGUAACGGCUUACCAUGGCAACGAUAGGUAGGGGUCCUGAGAGGGAGAUCCCCCACACUGGUACUGAGACACGGACCAGACUCCUACGGGGGGCAGCAGUGAGGAAUAUUGGACAAUGGGCGCAAGCCUGAUCCAGCCAUGCCGCGUGCAGGAAGAAGCAUCUAUGGUGUGUAAACUGCUUUUGUACGGGAAGAAACACUCCUUCGUGAAGGAGCUUGACGGUACCGUAAGAAUAAGGAUCGGCUAACUCCGUGCCAGCCGCCGCGGUAAAAC
rnacentral:rRNA from 1 species